rnacentral:lncRNA from 1 species
GGAUUUCGACAUGUGCAGCAGGAAAGGUAGAGCUUGCUCCUUAGGUAUCCUGCACUCAAAAGAACACAAGGAGUGGAACGCAGCAAGAAACAUGCUGGAUGUAAAUGGUCUGGUGCUGUCCCCACUGGGUGCAGUCAUCUGAGUGGAGAUGGUGGCAUACAGCGCUCAAGGGAAGACUCACCAGGAAAGGCAAGUGUAGCAGAACUGGAUCAACCAUUCACAAUCAGGCUUCUUUGCAACAAUAACUGAUGGCAUCAAAUAAAUAUUGAAAGGAAGAAGAAAGAAAACAG